GGAGAUGUUCUCACCAAAUGAGCUGUUUUGCGACAAAGCGGUGUAAAAACUGUACAUUACAGCGCCUUACGGUCGUCGGUUCAACUCCGACUAUCUCCACCA
rnacentral:tRNA from 1 species